AGUGAACGCUGGCGGUAGGCCUAACACAUGCAAGUCGAGCGCCAGCACAGUAAGAGCUUGCUCUUACGGGUGGCGAGUGGCGGACGGGUGAGGAAUACAUCGGAAUCUACUUUUUCGUGGGGGAUAACGUAGGGAAACUUACGCUAAUACCGCAUACGACCUACGGGUGAAAGCAGGGGAUCUUCGGACCUUGCGCGAUUGAAUGAGCCGAUGUCGGAUUAGCUAGUUGGCGGGGUAAAGGCCCACCAAGGCGACGAUCCGUAGCUGGUCUGAGAGGAUGAUCAGCCACACUGGAACUGAGACACGGUCCAGACUCCUACGGGAGGCAGCAGUGGGGAAUAUUGGACAAUGGGCGCAAGCCUAAUCCAGCCAUACCGCGUGGGUGAAGAAGGCCUUCGGGUUGUAAAGCCCUUUUGUUGGGAAAGAAAAGCAGCAGGUUAAUACCCCGCUGUUCUGACGGUACCCAAAGAAUAAGCACCGGCUAACUUCGUG
rnacentral:rRNA from 1 species